rnacentral:rRNA from 1 species
GAUCCUGGCUCAGGAUGAACGCUGGCGGCGUGCUUAACACAUGCAAGUCGAACGAAGCACUCUAUUUGAUUUUCUUCGGAAAUGAAGAUUUUGUGACUGAGUGGCGGACGGGUGAGUAACGCGUGGGUAACCUGCCCUCAUACGAGGGGGAUAACAGUUAGGAAACGACUGCUAAUACCGCAUAAGCGCACAGGAUUGCAUGAUCCGGUGUAGAAAACUCCGGUGGUAUGAGAUGGACCCG